rnacentral:rRNA from 1 species
UUAGAGUUUGAUCCUGGCUCAGAACGAACGCUGGCGGCAUGCCUAACACAUGCAAGUCGAACGAUCACUUCGGUGAUAGUGGCGCACGGGUGCGUAACGCGUGGGAAUCUGCCCUGGGGUACGGAAUAACAGUUAGAAAUGACUGCUAAUACCGUAUGAUGACGUAAGUCCAAAGAUUUAUCGCCCUGGGAUGAGCCCGCGUAGGAUUAGCUAGUUGGUGGGGUAAAGGCUUACCAAGGCGACGAUCUUUAGCUGGUCUGAGAGGAUGAUCAGCCACACUGGGACUGAGACACGGCCCAGACUCCUACGGGAGGCAGCAGUGGGGAAUAUUGGACAAUGGGCGAAAGCCUGAUCCAGCAAUGCCGCGUGAGUGAUGAAGGCCUUAGGGUUGUAAAGCUCUUUUACCCGGGAUGAUAAUGACAGUACCGGGAGAAUAAGCCCCGG